AGGAAUCCCUGAGAACAGACCACCUGUGGGUUAUCUUUGGGGGCAUGCUGUUUGUUGGGGGUGAAUUGGAGAAGCCCGAUGAAGUAUUUAUAAACAGCGAUUGGGCACAGAAAAACCAUCAGCGGUUGGUUCCCCUGAGAUACAGACCAUCGUCUACAGACUCUACAUAGCACAGUUUUCUUUCCCCUACUGAAAGCCAUGGCCUCCCUCUCUCUGGGACUCCUGUUUCUCUGUAUGCUGGUUGGCGUCCAUGGUGCAAAUGUCAGGGUGUCCGGCCUUCAUGCCAGCGGCCUUCGAGGGGACCCUGCUGGUAAUUACCCUGACCCCUACGUCAAGGUUUGGUGUGGUGGCAAAUCCGGUGGCAUGACAGACUGGCACAAGGAUACUCAAAACCCAUCCUGGAGUGCUGUAUUCAACUUUCUGAAUGUGCCUUCCAGUGCUUCCCUCAAGUUUGAGAUCUGGGACAAGGACCUAAACUUCGAUGACCACCUGGGAACCUGCACCACUAACCUCCAGCUUGGCAGUCACAGCGUAACCUGCGGUCUGAGUAGUGGAACCUUCUACUACACUUACAGUUACCAGUAAACCAGCCAUAAUGUACAACAUCAGUUACCAGUAAACCAGUCAUAAUGUACAACAUUAGGCCAUCACAUACCUUAAUGAAAUUCUAAUGAAUUUUACUGAUGUACAUUAUGCCCUAAAUAAAAACUUGCCUUUCUGAACAAUG